ensembl:lncRNA
CAAUGAUAGCAUGUGUCUAACAUAAACAAUGUGAGCAGCUCUGUAGGUAGAGACUGUAUAGAGCUCUGUAGGUAGAGACUGUAUAGAGCUCUGUAGGUAGAGACUGUAUAGAGCUCUGUAGAGACUGUAUAGAGCUCUGUAGGUAGAGACUGUGUAGAGCUCUGUAGAGACUGUAUAGAGCUCUGUAGGUAGAGACUGUGUAGAGCUCUGUAGAGACUGUAUAGAGCUCUGUAGGUAGAGACUCUAUAGAGCUCUGCUGAUACCGGCAGGUCUAGAGGAGGGUUGUCUUGACCUAGGAAGAGGCCUAGAGGGAGGUCUAGGAGGGAGGCCUAGAGGAGGACUAGGGGAGGUCUAGAGGAGGUCUAGAGGAGGUCUAGAGGAGGACUAGGGGAGGUCUAGAGGAGGUCUAGAGGAGGUCUAGAGGAGGUCUAGAGGAGGUCUAAAGGAGGUCUAGAGGAGGUCUAGAGGAGGUCCAGGGGGUGAGAGGAGGUCUAGAGGAGGUCCAGGGGGUGAGAGGAGGUCUAGAGGAGGUCCAGGGAGUGAGAGGAGGACUAGAGGAGGUCCAGG